CACGUAGGGUGCGAGCGUUGUCCGGAAUUAUUGGGCGUAAAGAGCUCGUAGGCGGUGUGUCGCGUCGGCCGUGAAAACCUGCAGCUUAACUGUGGGCUUGCGGUCGAUACGGGCAUCACUGGAGUUCGGCAGGGGAGACUGGAAUUCCUGGUGUAGCGGUGAAAUGCGCAGAUAUCAGGAAGAACACCGACGGCGAAGGCAGCUCGCUGGGACGGUACUGACGCUGAGGCGCGAAAGCGUGGGGAGCGAACAGG
rnacentral:rRNA from 1 species